UCAGUCCAUGCCCACAGCUUUCUCGUCUCAGCGCUUUGUGAAAGUAGCAUUCAAGUUCUCCUUUAAUAGAAAUGCUCAGCUUGGCAGUCAGUAAAAACACUGCGGCUUUUGUCGAGGUAGCUUAGCAGGGAGGAAUGUGAAGUUUAUAAAUAAUUAGUCUCAGACAACUUGACACGGCUCACUUCUUGAUUGGCAGUGUGAUCCAAAAGCCAAGAAGCUACAUUCAUCAUGCAGUGUUACAUCAGGGCCUUGUGAACAUGGAUACACUUCCCAUCAACCAAGAACUUCAGGUCUGAAAUCUCUGGGCUGUCAAACUCCUUUUUCAGAGACUGGGCCACCGUCAAGUAGUCAUCGCCAUCUGAUGAAAACAAAGGAAGCAAGUUUUUCCACUGUAUUUCAAAGCAAAGAUAUAGCACCUGUCUACAGGGCAAGCAAAUACAUUCUUUUAUUGAAAUCCCAGAAAUUACCGUUUUAAAUGAUACCUUUAGACCCUCCAGAUAUGUAAAAAGUAUAUUCUAUAGAAUCACAAAUCUAAUUGGAAUCACUAUUUGUUCUUCAAACAGAUAAACAGAUAUCCCUAACCCUUAUGAGAUGAUUUCAGAGGCUUAUUAGUUAAAGAGAAUUUUCAGAGGGAUGUCAUUAACUUUACAAAAUGGAGCAUACACAGAAAAUAAGAUCUCAAAGAUAAGAUAAGAUAAGAUAAAAGGCAUGAUGCCAAAUGGUUAAAGCAAAAAUUCAUUGAUUAUUGAAGAUAUUUGAGUUCUGGGGCUCUUCUUCAGUUUUAGGAAUCUUUAUAUUCUUACACCACACUCACCUACUGAGAGGAGGUGCCAUGUGACUGCCGGUGUGGCGAAGCAUGCAAACACAUCAUCUGUGGUGCUGAAGUGGGUGAGGUGGGGGCUGGCCACGGCUUGACCUCGACACUGACCCCACAUCAGAACCUGCCCGCUCUGGGUCUUGGCAGCUGACGUGUGGCUGGUGUGACAUGCAGCCACCUCCACCAUCCUAGUGACAAGAACAGAAUUUAUACCUUGAAGUGUUAUUACCACACAGCCUGCUUAUGCAGGUUGUACGUUGAAUUAUGUCAAAUAUGUCGAGUAUAGAGGCAAAGAGGGCAUUUUAAUUAUAGACAAAAAGAAGCAGAUUUCCACAGUGAUCACCAACCAAACUCUUGUUACUCCAUGAUGUUUAACCAUAUAUGCCUUUGAAUCACUAAGUAACUAAUGGACAGUUUUUUUAAACUGUUCUCACUGGAUGUUGUCGUGCAGCCUGUAAUGCAGUGACCUGUUAUGCUGGCAGAAAGGUGUCACUGCUUUAGUCAGUAGGGG